rnacentral:rRNA from 1 species
UACGUAGGGCGCAAGCGUUUGUCCGGAAUUAUUGGGCGUAAAGAGCUCGUAGGCGGCUUGUCGCGUCGACUGUGAAAACCCGCAGCUCAACUGUGGGCUUGCAGCUGAUACGGGCAGGCUUGAGUUCGGUAGGGGAGACUGGAAUUCCUGGUGUAGCGGUGAAAUGCGCAGAUAUCUGGAGGAAUACCGGUGGCGAAGGCGGCAUCCUGGACCGACAUUGACGCUGAUGAGCGAAAGCUAGGGGAGCAAACGGG